UACGUAGGGGGCUAGCGUUGUCCGGAAUCAUUGGGCGUAAAGCGCGUGUAGGCGGUUCGGUAAGUCCGCUGUGAAAGUCGGGGGCUCAACCCUCGGAAGCCGGUGGAUACUGUCGGGCUAGAGUACGGAAGAGGCGAGUGGAAUUCCUGGUGUAGCGGUGAAAUGCGCAGAUAUCAGGAGGAACACCCAUUGCGAAGGCAGCUCGCUGGGACGUUACUGACGCUGAGACGCGAAAGCGUGGGGAGCAAACAGG
rnacentral:rRNA from 1 species